AUGGCAGAAUGCUUCAAUAAGGUGCUCAAGGGUGUACAUGCAUUACCCGUGACGGCAAUAGUUCAAUACACAUUUGACAAGAUGAAUUGGUACUUUUUAAAGUACUCAAUGGAGACGGAUAAGCAGAUUACUGGUGAGAACAAGGAUAAGCACAAGUACUAUUUCCCACCAAAGGUUGAAGAAUGGUUGGACUUUCAAUCACGAAAGGCAGACUCCCAAGAAGCUGUAUAUGACGACAACGAGUGGAAGUAUGAGGUGAAAGAGCCUGGAGGAACCACAAACGAUGUCCACCAACACGGAGGUCGCGCUUUCAAGGUCUCCCUAACACGGUGUGAUUGGAGCUGCAUGAGGCCAUCGUUGCUUCAUCUCCCAUGCUCGCACUUGUUAAACGCAUCCCGUGUUAGGAAUGUGGAUGUCAACCACCCUCUUACCGUGAGGGAGUCCGAGUUCUCAAUCAUGACGAUAAAGAAUACAUGGGCUCCCCGGUUUCAGCCAUACUUGGACCAAUCACAAUGGCCGGAGUAUCAUGGAGUUCAACUAUGGCCGGACCCGGAAUUGAAGGUCGUUAGAUGGGGAAGACGUAAGAAAAAGCAUCUUAGAGGUGACAUGGACGGAUGGGGCCAUGGUGGCGGUGGAGAAUACGGCACCGGCCAAUUCCAAGAGCCUCGCGAGCAAUCCCAUUGUGGGGACUGCAGUCAUCGGGGACACAACACAAGAACUUGUCCAAACCAAGAAAAAGAUCAAAGAAAAAUGAUGCAAGCACAAGCCAAGCAAAUGAUAGCCAACCAAGUCAACCAAGGAGUAGCCAACCAAGUCAAACAAGCCAACGAGGAACUAGGCAACAAAGAGAGAGUCAACUAG
rnacentral:rRNA from 1 species